CACGGGGGGAGCAAGCGUUGUUCGGAAUCACUGGGCGUAAAGGGCGUGCAGGCGGUCAGGUAAGUGGGAUGUGAAAUGCCCCGGCUCACCCGGGGACCGGCAUCUCAUACUGCUUGGCUUGAGUACGGGAGAGGAUGUGGGAAUUCCUGGUGUAGCGGUGAAAUGCGUAGAUAUCAGGAGGAACACCGGUGGCGAAGGCGCACAUCUGGCCCGAUACUGACGCUGAGGAGCGAAAGCCAGGGGAGCAAACGGG
rnacentral:rRNA from 1 species